GACAGAGGGUGCAAACGUUGCUCGGAAUCACUGGGCGUAAAGGGCGUGUAGGCGGGAAUGUAAGUCGGGCGUGAAAUCCCUAGGCUCAACCUAGGAACUGCACUCGAAACUGCGUUUCUUGAGUAUCGGAGAGGAAAGCGGAAUACCUGGUGUAGAGGUGAAAUUCGUAGAUAUCAGGUGGAACACCAGUGGCGAAGGCGGCUUUCUGGACGAUAACUGACGCUGAGACGCGAAAGCGUGGGGAGCGAACAGG
rnacentral:rRNA from 1 species